GGCCAUUGAUCAGUGCUUCUGAUCUCCUAUUCAAAGUCAGGAGCAUCCUCAACCGUUGGAUUGCAUGAUGGAUCACUUCUGGACCGUCGGAUCGUGCAAAAGAGUCUUUUUAUAAACCAGCAAUGAACAGCAACCGUUGGAUCUAAGUCGGAUUGAAUCUCAACCAUUGGAUCUCACCUAGGAUCUUUCUCUCGCUGUGAACCGUGCC
rnacentral:lncRNA from 1 species